rnacentral:ncRNA from 1 species
AAUGGUGCCUUGGUUGGGCUAAAGGGAAUCGAAGUGCUGCAGCUGUGCAAAUUCUUCGGACUGUACCCGCAACUGUGAGCGCCCAGGAGGCUCUGUAUUUUCGUACAGCCUCCAGCCACGUCCUAAUGCCACUGACUCCGGUCGGGAAGGCGGAUGCUGGUGAUAAAGCGUAAGUCAGGAGACCUGCCAUUC